CCUACGGGAGGCAGCAGUCGAGAAUCAUUCACAAUGGGGGAAACCCUGAUGGUGCGACGCCGCGUGGGGGAAUGAAGGUCUUCGGAUUGUAAACCCCUGUCAUGUGGGAGCAAAUUAAAAAGAUAGUACCACAAGAGGAAGAGACGGCUAACUCUGUGCCAGCAGCCGCGGUAAUACAGAGGUCUCAAGCGUUGUUCGGAAUCACUGGGCGUAAAGGGUGCGUAGGCUGUUUCGUAAGUCGUGUGUGAAAGGCGCGGGCUCAACCCGCGGACGGCACAUGAUACUGCGAGACUAGAGUAAUGGAGAGGGAGCCGGAAUUCGCGGUGUAGCAGUGAAAUGCGUAGAUAUCGAGAGGAACACUCGUGGCGAAGGCGGGUUCCUGGACAGUAACUGACGCUGAGGCACGAAGGCCAGGGGAGCGAAAGGGAUUAGAUACCCUAGUAGUC
rnacentral:rRNA from 1 species